rnacentral:rRNA from 1 species
CAAGUAAUUAAGUGCAUGUGGUGGAUGCCUUGGCAGUCAGAGGCGAUGAAAGACGUGAUAGCCUGCGAAAAGCUCCGGGGAGGCGGCAAAUAUCCUUUGAUCCGGAGAUGUCUGAAUGGGGGAACCCACCUACUUUAAGGUAGGUAUUGCAACAUGAAUACAUAGUGUUGCAAGGCGAACGAGGGGAAGUGAAACAUCUCAGUACCCUUAGGAAAAGAAAUCAAUUGAGAUUCCCUCAGUAGCGGCGAGCGAACGGGGAUCAGCCCAUUAAGUUAUGUGUGUUUUAGUGGAACGCUCUGGGAAGUGCGAACGUAGAGGGUGAUAUUCCCGUACACGAAAGGGCACACAUAAUGAUGACGAGUAGGGCGAGGCACGUGAAACCUUGUCUGAAUAUGGGGGGACCAUCCUCCAAGGCUAAAUACUCCUGACUGACCGAUAGUGAACCAGUACCGUGAGGGAAAGGCGAAAAGAACCCCUGUGAGGGGAGUGAAAUAGAUCCUGAAACCGCAUGCAUACAAGCAGUGGGAGCACCUUCGUGGUGUGACUGCGUACCUUUUGUAUAAUGGGUCAGCGACUUAUAUUCAGUAGCGAGGUUAACCGUAUAGGGGAGCCGUAGAGAAAUCGAGUCUUAAUAGGGCGUUUAGUUGCUGGGUAUAGACCCGAAACCAGGCGAUCUAUCCAUGAGCAGGUUGAAGGUUGGGUAACACUAACUGGAGGACCGAACCCACUGUCGUUGAAAAGCCAGGGGAUGACUUGUGGAUAGGGGUGAAAGGCUAAUCAAGCCUGGUGAUAGCUGGUUCUCCCCGAAAGCUAUUUAGGUAGCGCCUCGGACGAAUACCAUAGGGGGUAGAGCACUGUUUCGGCUAGGGGGUCAUCCCGACUUACCAAACCGAUGCAAACUCCGAAUACCUAUGAGUACUAUCCGGGAGACAGACUGCGGGUGCUAACGUCCGUAGUCAAGAGGAAAACAAUCCAGACCGCCAGCUAAGGCCCCAAAAUCAUAGUUAAGUGGGAAACGAUGUGGGAAGGCAUAGACAGCUAGGAGGUUGGCUUAGAAGCAGCCACCCUUUAAAGAAAGCGUAAUAGCUCACUAGUCGAGUCGGCCUGCGCGGAAGAUGUAACGGGGCUAAAACUAUGUGCCGAAGCUGCGGAUGUAUACUUUGUAUACGUGGUAGGGGAGCGUUCUGUAAGCCGAUGAAGGUGUGUUGAGAAGCAUGCUGGAGGUAUCAGAAGUGCGAAUGCUGACGUGAGUAACGACAAAACGGGUGAAAAACCCGUUCGCCGAAAGACCAAGGGUUCCAGUCCAACGUUAAUCGGGGCUGGGUGAGUCGACCCCUAAGGCGAGGCCGAAAGGCGUAGUCGAUGGGAAAAUGGUUAAUAUUCCAUUACUUCUGUGUAAUGCGAUGAGAGGACGGAGAAGGCUAAAUCAGCCUGGCGUUGGUUGUCCAGGUGAAAGGAUGUAGGCAUGUAUCUUAGGCAAAUCCGGGGUACUCUAUGCUGAGAUCUGAUAGCAAGCUGUACUUGUACAGCGAAGUGGUUGAUGCCAUGCUUCCAGGAAAAGUCUCUAAGCUUCAGUUACACAGGAAUCGUACCCGAAACCGACACAGGUGGUCAGGUCGAGUAGACCAAGGCGCUUGAGAGAACUCUGCUGAAGGAACUAGGCAAAAUGGUACCGUAACUUCGGGAGAAGGUACGCUGUUGUUGGUGAUGGAACUCGCUUCCUGAGCUGACGACAGCCGCAGAAACCAGGCCGCUGCAACUGUUUAUUAAAAACAUAGCACUCUGCAAACACGAAAGUGGACGUAUAGGGUGUGAUGCCUGCCCGGUGCUGGAAGGUUAAUUGAUGGGGUUAGCGUAAGCGAAGCUCUUGAUCGAAGCCCCAGUAAACGGCGGCCGUAACUAUAACGGUCCUAAGGUAGCGAAAUUCCUUGUCGGGUAAGUUCCGACCUGCACGAAUGGCAUAAUGAUGGCGGCGCUGUCUCCAGCAGAGGCUCAGUGAAAUCGAAAUCGCUGUGAAGAUGCAGUGUACCCGCGGCUAGACGGAAAGACCCCGUGAACCUUUACUGCAGCUUGACACUGAACUUUGACCUUACUUGUGUAGGAUAGGUGGGAGGCUUUGAAGCUGGAACGCUAGUUCCAGUGGAGCCGUCCUUGAAAUACCACCCUGGUAAUGUUGAGGUUCUAACUCUGUCCCGUGAUCCGGGACGAGGACCGUGUCUGGUGGGUAGUUUGACUGGGGCGGUCUCCUCCUAAAGAGUAACGGAGGAGUACGAAGGUGCGCUCAGCGUGGUCGGAAAUCACGCGUAGAGUAUAAAGGCAAAAGCGCGCUUAACUGCGAGACCCACAAGUCGAGCAGGUACGAAAGUAGGUCUUAGUGAUCCGGUGGUUCUGUAUGGAAGGGCCAUCGCUCAACGGAUAAAAGGUACUCUGGGGAUAACAGGCUGAUACCGCCCAAGAGUUCAUAUCGACGGCGGUGUUUGGCACCUCGAUGUCGGCUCAUCUCAUCCUGGGGCUGAAGCAGGUCCCAAGGGUAUGGCUGUUCGCCAUUUAAAGAGGUACGCGAGCUGGGUUUAGAACGUCGUGAGACAGUUCGGUCCCUAUCUACCGUGGGCGCUGGAAAUUUGAGAGGAUCUGCUCCUAGUACGAGAGGACCAGAGUGGACGAACCUCUGGUGUACCGGUUGUGACGCCAGUCGCAUCGCCGGGUAGCUAUGUUCGGAAGGGAUAACCGCUGAAAGCAUCUAAGCGGGAAGCCUACCUCAAGAUAAGAUUUCCCUAGGACUUUAUGUCCUCUAAAGAGCCGUUCGAGACUAGGACGUUGAUAGGUUGGAUGUGGAAGCAUAGUGAUAUGUGAAGCUGACCAAUA